UGUGAGCAAGCCCCUUCCUCUUCUGAGCAAUUCCUUACUUUCUGGCAACCCAAGAUGCUCCAUGCUCAUCUGGUUCAUUGCCUGCCUUCGUCCUGGAAUCAGCCACUUCCCCAAGGGGCCAGGUUCCUUUUCUUGGAGAAUGGUGUUUAGAAGCCAGGACCUGGUUACUGGGUGUGCUUGUUGCUAUUGGGCUGCUAUUGCCUGUGUAUUUUGGUAUUGCUGAAGCUGUAAUUUCAGGGUAGAUACCUAGAAGAGUGAUCGUAGGUUAGAAAGGUAAGUGAAUGGCUUACACUGGACUAAUUUUAGAAUUUCUAAGUACAUUUAAGUGAUGACUCAUCCCACUUAAAUUCAAAGCUGUUUGUUGUGCCAUCUGGCUCAUCAGAACAUGAAAGACUUCUCCUGCAACCUGGAAAAAGGCCAGAGAGGAAGACGAAUGGAGGAGUCAACCCCAUGGGAAUGCUGACUGAGUGUUAGCUCCCCGUGGACAGGAAUGUCACUGCAUGAAUAGGCUGCAGUAUGUCUGGGCCUGUUUUUUUUUCAUAAAAUGUUCCCCCCCUGUUUUUUUCUUAUUCCAAAGCAAUGCAACAAAAAGCACAAGAAAUCAAAAAGGAAAAAAUAGAUAUUGGACUUCAUCAAAAUGAAAAACUUUUGUGCUUCAAAGGAAAUGGAAAGAAAGUGAAAAAACAACUGAGGGAAUGGAAGAAAAUAUUCUCAAAUCAUCAUCUAACAAAGGUUGUGUUAGUCUGUUCAGGUUGCUGUAACAAAAUAUC
rnacentral:lncRNA from 1 species